UCUCUCCUUUGCAUGGCUGAUCUGGAAGAGGAUCUGAUUUUCAGAGAAUGAGUGUUUGAGCAUUUUUAAAGUGUAGAUGACUUUUUUCUAGUACUGCUUGACACAGUCCUGUGACAAUAAAGGUAACUGGGAUCCAUCAUCCUGGGGGAUAGAGAUAAGUGGUACAUUUGAUUUUCACACAUCUUUAGGAGACAUUUCAGGUGCUCAAGCACAUGCCUGUUGCCAGUUUCCAUUCUGGAAUAUUGUACAUGCCUGGAAUAUGCGAUGUUUGUCCUAUAGAUCCCGUGCUGUGCCUGAAAUAAAUUCCUCUGCAGAUGCCUAAGCUACCUCAGGGCAUGGAAAUGGCCCAAAUCACCCAGGGAACUCCCAACCCCAGUGUCUGUUUUAAUUUAGGCAGUGCACCCAGAUGGAGGUUUGUCAUGUAUUAUUCUGAAUAUAUGAAAAUAAAAUAAAAUAACCAUGGAUCACAUUGGGUAGGCAGGACAUGACUCCAAAGAGCUCUGCUGGAAUAUCCACAUAUGUUCUGUUGCAUGAUGCUUUAUUUGUCCCAGAAGAAUUAAGAUGACAGAUGAUAGCUGAGGUUUGAACUUGUGCAUCAGGAAGGCCACUUUGAAUAUAAAGGGGGCAGUGUGCGUUUUGUGAAACUAGCGAUGCAAAGAGGAUGCAGCGGAGGAACGGCCGGCAGUGUCAUUGGAACGAUGACAUUUCUGUGGAAACGAGGCAGUUGUUUAUGGUGCUGUGUGCAGUUCUUGAAGCCAGCCCAGAAACAGGGCAGGGGUUUAAGGGGAGGCAGGCGGAGGUGCCUGCGGAGCUCCAGCGCUGCUGCUCCCGGAGCCCUGGGGCAGCGGGGCUGCGACCUCAGGGACACCUCACUGGGACUGUCUGAUGUGUGCGAACCGGAGAGAGAGGUGGAGUCUAAAGAAGUAGCGUUCCAUCACUUUCAACUUGGUGACUGAAGUUCUUUAGGAGAGAAGAGAGUUGUCCCUGGAAAGCGGUGUAAGGAUGAGUGGCCGCUGGGAAUCUCCCCCUUUUCCCGGUGCGAUCAGUUUUGUUGCUGAGUGCCCUCUGGAGGUUUUGGACCCGCAGCGACCCGGGCUAUCGAGGCUGUGUCUGAGCUUUUCAGGACUCCUUGCUUCAAAGGUUCUCCCUCUCUUUUUUUUUUUCUCCUUUGGAGAGAUAUUCUAGUCGAUCUAAACGAGCAGAACACAGUUAAGUUAGCUUUUGGUUUAAGUCAGAAUUACGGCAUAUGAGUUACUCAGAAAAGGUAAAAAAUAAUUCAAAAAUUCAUUCAAAUUGCUAGACAGCCAAUCUGAAUCUGUUUCAUAUUUAGGAGCUUUAAUUAGCUUUAUCAAUGUAUCAAUCACUGUGCUUCCUGCUUAUGUUUCUGUUUUCUCCCUAGUUCUCGUUGGGGCUAAAGGGAAACUGCUAAAAUACCCUUUGAGCCUCUUCUUGCAAGAUAUAUCAGAGAUCUCAGGGGAAGCCUGUUAUCCUUAUUCUUCCAGCCAAGUUCUGUAGCCAGAGGAACUCUGGAUAACUUCAGUAAGUAUUGGAACUUUUGGGUGCUCAUUUUUGGUUUUCUUGUAAUCUCUAAAUUCUCCACUUUUGUCUACACUUAUUCCCCUAAGUGUAUCAGUUAAAAUAAAUACCUGCAGUUGCCCUGACCA
ensembl:lncRNA